GACAAACGCUGGCGGCGUGCCUAAUACAUGCAAGUAGAACGCUGAAGGAGGAGCUUGCUUCUCUGGAUGAGUUGCGAACGGGUGAGUAACGCGUAGGUAACCUGCCUGGUAGCGGGGGAUAACUAUUGGAAACGAUAGCUAAUACCGCAUAAGAGUAGAUGUCGCAUGACAUUUGCUUAAAAGGUGCAAUUGCAUCACUACCAGAUGGACCUGCGUUGUAUUAGCUAGUUGGUGAGGUAACGGCUCACCAAGGCAACGAUACAUAGCCGACCUGAGAGGGUGAUCGGCCACACUGGGACUGAGACACGGCCCAGACUCCUACGGGAGGCAGCAGUAGGGAAUCUUCGGCAAUGGACGGAAGUCUGACCGAGCAACGCCGCGUGAGUGAAGAAGGUUUUCGGAUCGUAAAGCUCUGUUGUAAGAGAAGAACGAGUGUGAGAGUGGAAAGUUCACACUGUGACGGUAUCUUACCAGAAAGGGACGGCUAACUACGUG
rnacentral:rRNA from 1 species